UCGCCAGUGUGAUACCCAUCGAGAACGGCCAUUUCCUCGGCCGUCAGCUCAAAAUCGAAGAUAUCGAAGUUUUCAGAAAUUCGAACCAAAUAUGUGUUUUAUAAGACGACUUUGGAGAUCAGUUUAUGGUUUUUUUCGACCAGAAAAUCGAGUUCGUUUCACCCAGGAUAUUGUGAGCAUUUCGGAGAGUCGCGAAAUGACAAAUCGAAAUCACAUCCGAGGUUAUGUGAUUGAGCAGCGUCGAAAAGCUCAGGAAAGAUACGAUAAUCUUUGAUGAGACGAUUAGGAUACAAAUUAUUAUUUCGCCAGAUUCUCCGCCCUGUAUUGAAGCUCUUCAACUGAAGCAACU